rnacentral:rRNA from 1 species
CCUACGGGUGGCUGCAGUGGGGAAUAUUGCACAAUGGGGGAAACCCUGAUGCAGCGACGCCGCGUGAGUGAUGAAGUAAUUCGUUAUGUAAAGCUCUAUCAGCAGGGAAGAAAAUGACGGUACCUGAGUAAGAAGCACCGGCUAACUACGUGCCAGCAGCCGCGGUAAUACGGAGGGGGCAAGCGUUACCCGGAUUUACUGGGUGUAAAGGGAGCGUAGGCGGGAGUGCAAGUCUGGAGUGAAAGGCGGGGGCUCAACCCCAGGACUGCACUGGAAACUGUACGGCUGGAGUGCAGGAGAGGUAAGUGGAAUUCCUAGUGUAGCGGUAAAAUGCGUAGAGAUUAGGAGGAACACCAGUGGCGAAGGCGACUUACUGGACUGUAACUGACGUUGAGGCGCGAAAGCGUGGGGAGCAAACAGGAUUAGAUACCCCGGUAGUC